AGAGUUUGAUCAUGGCUCAGAUUGAACGCUGGCGGCAGGCCUAACACAUGCAAGUCGAACGGUAACAGGAAACAGCUUGCUGUUUCGCUGACGAGUGGCGGACGGGUGAGUAAUGUCUGGGAAACUGCCUGAUGGAGGGGGAUAACUACUGGAAACGGUAGCUAAUACCGCAUAACGUCGCAAGACCAAAGAGGGGGACCUUCGGGCCUCUUGCCAUCAGAUGUGCCCAGAUGGGAUUAGCUAGUAGGUGGGGUAACGGCUCACCUAGGCGACGAUCCCUAGCUGGUCUGAGAGGAUGACCAGCCACACUGGAACUGAGACACGGUCCAGACUCCUACGGGAGGCAGCAGUGGGGAAUAUUGCACAAUGGGCGCAAGCCUGAUGCAGCCAUGCCGCGUGUAUGAAGAAGGCCUUCGGGUUGUAAAGUACUUUCAGCGGGGAGGAAGGGAGUAAAGUUAAUACCUUUGCUCAUUGACGUUACCCGCAGAAGAAGCACCGGCUAACUCCGUGCCAGCAGCCGCGGUAAUACGGAGGGUGCAAGCGUUAAUCGGAAUUACUGGGCGUAAAGCGCACGCAGGCGGUUUGUUAAGUCAGAUGUGAAAUCCCCGGCUCAACCUGGGAACUGCAUCUGAUACUGGCAAGCUUGAGUCUCGUAGAGGGGGUAGAAUUCCAGGUGUAGCGGUGAAAUGCGUAGAGAUCUGGAGGAAUACCGGUGGCGAAGGCGGCCCCCUGGACGAAGACUGACGCUCAGGUGCGAAAGCGUGGGGAGCAAACAGGAUUAGAUACCCUGGUAGUCCACGCCGUAAACGAUGUCGACUUGGAGGUUGUGCCCUUGAGGCGUGGCUUCCGGAGCUAACGCGUUAAGUCGACCGCCUGGGGAGUACGGCCGCAAGGUUAAAACUCAAAUGAAUUGACGGGGGCCCGCACAAGCGGUGGAGCAUGUGGUUUAAUUCGAUGCAACGCGAAGAACCUUACCUGGUCUUGACAUCCACGGAAGUUUUCAGAGAUGAGAAUGUGCCUUCGGGAACCGUGAGACAGGUGCUGCAUGGCUGUCGUCAGCUCGUGUUGUGAAAUGUUGGGUUAAGUCCCGCAACGAGCGCAACCCUUAUCCUUUGUUGCCAGCGGUCCGGCCGGGAACUCAAAGGAGACUGCCAGUGAUAAACUGGAGGAAGGUGGGGAUGACGUCAAGUCAUCAUGGCCCUUACGACCAGGGCUACACACGUGCUACAAUGGCGCAUACAAAGAGAAGCGACCUCGCGAGAGCAAGCGGACCUCAUAAAGUGCGUCGUAGUCCGGAUUGGAGUCUGCAACUCGACUCCAUGAAGUCGGAAUCGCUAGUAAUCGUGGAUCAGAAUGCCACGGUGAAUACGUUCCCGGGCCUUGUACACACCGCCCGUCACACCAUGGGAGUGGGUUGCAAAAGAAGUAGGUAGCUUAACCUUCGGGAGGGCGCUUACCACUUUGUGAUUCAUGACUGGGGUGAAGUCGUAACAAGGUAACCGUAGGGGAACCUGCGGUUGGAUCACCU
rnacentral:rRNA from 1 species